rnacentral:rRNA from 1 species
CCUACGGGAGGCUGCAGUAGGGAAUUUUCGGCAAUGGGGGGAACCCUGACCGAGCAACGCCGCGUGAAUGAAGAAGGAUUUCGUUCUGUAAAACUCUGUUAUACAGGAAGAAAGACGGGUGUAGGAAAUGAAAUUCGCGUGACGGUACUUUAUGAGAAAGCCACAGCUAACUACGUGCCAGCAGCCGCGGUAAUACGUAGGUGGCAAGCGUUCUCCGGAAUUAUUGGGCGUAAAGAGGGAGCAGGCGGCAGCAAAGGUCUGUGGUGAAAGACUGAAGCUAAACUGAGGGAAGCCAUGGAAACCGGGCGGCUAGAGUGCAGGAGAGGAUCGUGGAAUUCCAUGUGUAGCGGUGAAAUGCGUAGAUAUAUGGAGGAACACCAGUGGCGAAGGCGACGAUCUGGCCUGUAACUGACGCUCAGGCCCGAAAGCGUGGGGAGCAAACAGGAUUAGAUACCCGAGUAGUC